AUUGAACGCUGGCGGCAUGCCUUACGCAUGCAAGUCGAACGGCAGCACGGGAGCAAUCCUGGUGGCGAGUGGCGAACGGGUGAGUAAUAUAUCGGAACGUGCCCAGUCGUGGGGGUUAACGUAGCGAAAGCUACGCUAAUACCGCAUACGAUCUAUGGAUGAAAGCGGGGGAUCGCAAGACCUCGCGCGAUUGGAGCGGCCGAUAUCAGAUUAGGUAGUUGGUGAGGUAAAGGCUCACCAAGCCGACGAUCUGUAGCUGGUCUGAGAGGACGAGCAGCCACACUGGGACUGAGGCACGGCCCAGACUCCUACGGGAGGCAGCAGUGGGGAAUUUUGGACAAUGGGCGCAAGCCUGAUCCAGCAAUGCCGCGUGCAGGAUGAAGGCCUUCGGAUUGUAAACUGCUUUUGUACGGAACGAAACGGUGAGCUCUAAUACAGUUUGCUAAUGACGGUACCGUAAGAAUAAGCACCGGCUAACUACGUGCCAGCCGCCGCAGUAAGAC
rnacentral:rRNA from 1 species